rnacentral:rRNA from 1 species
CCUACGGGUGGCUGCAGUGGGGAAUAUUGGGCAAUGGAGGAAACUCUGACCCAGCAAUGCCGCGUGAAUGACGAAGGUCUUCGGAUUGUAAAGUUCUUUAGUCAGGGAAGCAGUCAAUGACGGUACCUGAAGAAUAAGCUCCCGCUAACUACGUGCGAGCAGCCGCGGUAAUACGUAGGGCGCAAGCGUUGUUCGGAAUGACUGGGCGUAAAGGGUGCGUAGGCGGUUGUAGAAGGUAGAAGUGAAAUACUCAGGGCUUAACUCGGGUGCUGCUUCUAAAACUGUAUGACUUGAGGGCAGUAGAGGUUAGUGGAAUGCGUAGUGGAGCGGUGGAAUGCGUAGAUAUUAGGAGGAACACCAGAGGCGAAGGCGGCUAACUGGACUGCAACUGACGCUGAGGCACGAAAGUGUGGGGAGCGAACAGGAUUAGAUACCCGAGUAGUC